rnacentral:rRNA from 1 species
UACGUAGGGUGCAAGCGUUGUCCGGAAUUAUUGGGCGUAAAGAGCUCGUAGGCGGUUUGUCGCGUCUGCUGUGAAAACUCGGGGCUCAACUCCGGGCUUGCAGUGGGUACGGGCAGACUAGAGUGCGGUAGGGGAGACUGGAAUUCCUGGUGUAGCGGUGGAAUGCGCAGAUAUCAGGAGGAACACCGGUGGCGAAGGCGGGUCUCUGGGCCGUAACUGACGCUGAGGAGCGAAAGCAUGGGGAGCGAACAGG